UUCUACAAUGUAGAAAAUAGUAAAAAUAUAGAAAAAUGGAAUGAGUAGGUGUGUUCAAACUUUUGACUGGUACUUCCUGGAAUGGAAAAUGAUGGUUUGCAGUACAGGGCUAUUGGGCUAUUUACGAGGAAGGAGUAGGCUGUCGUUGUAAAUAAGAAUUUGAAUUUGUUCAUAACUGACUUGUUAAAUAAAGGUUACACGAAGAGCAUAACAUUUCUGCUCCCUAAUUUUCUAGUUAUUGUCUAACCAAUACUCAAAUGGAGAUUAAGUGAAAUAUAAACAUCCGCAUUUGAAAUGUCAAGGUGAACCGAAAUCCCUUUUCAACGCGUGUGUUAUUCAAUGACGAUUCAAGCCAUUGACUCACUGAUGAAUGAAGAUGAUGAGCGAUCGGUACAGGCAAUCUAAUCUGCGGGCAUCACGGCUUCUGCCCAGGCAUGGAUCAAAGCUGGUGAGACGUUCAAUAACGUCGUCUUCACAGACUAAUCAACCAUGGCCCUUGAGCAAUUUGCUCAAAAUUGCUACAGAAAAAAAGGAAAAUCAAGAAGAUUAACGAAAGCAUACAGAUGUUGAUGAAGAAAUGCUGUUUUGAGUUAGAAAUGUAACACUUUAGAGUACUUAAGCAUCGAAUACAUUGCAAGUUGAGGGAUUUUCACAACAGUAGCUGGGCUAUAAAAGUCUAUUGUCCUGCUAAUAGGAAUCAUUUGCAUGAUGGGCUACAUUCUUUAUUGUAACCACAAUGUCAUACAUAAUUUGUAUCUACCUUCCCAAUUACUUUUAGAGUUUGGGAAUUACAAAUGUGCGCUUUCUUUUUAGUUACAUUGUUUUAGUUUGAACAUGCAAACUUUUUCUUUAAAUUAUUGUUUUAUGUAGGAUGCUACAUUUUGACCAGUAGGAAUUGUAAGUAGGCCUAAUAAAAAAAAUCAUACUUCUA